rnacentral:lncRNA from 1 species
CUCCAGUGGAUAUGGUCACUGAAGCUGUUGUGCAAAUUUUAAGUGGGAUCAAGACCAUUAUACAAUAUAUUUCAACCAUGUUUGGGGACAUUGAAGGGGAUACAGGCAUCAAUGAAACAGUUAAACUUGGUGGCACUGUAUUGGAUGAGGUUACUGAAUGGAUUAGAUUCCCGGUGGGCUACUUAUUCCACUUAUUUGAAGAGGAUGAAUCAACUGAAAUGACCUCUGAUGUGACGGAAGACAUUGAUGAUACUUCAGAUGAUGAUACUAUUGCAGUUGCAGGGGAGAAAACAACUGAAAUGACAUUUGAUGCUACAGAUGUGAAAGACAUUGACGAUACCUUAGAUGUUGUUACAGAGGAGG